AGUGAACGCUGGCGGCAGGCCUAACACAUGCAAGUCGAGCGGCAGCGCAGCAGUAGCAAUACUGUGGGCGGCGAGCGGCGGACAGGUGAGGAAUACAUCGGAAUUUACCCAAUCGUGGGGGAUAACGUAGGGAAACUUACGCUAAUACCGCAUGAACUGGAGACAGCAAAGCGGCGGACCGAAAGGCGUCGCGCGGUUGGAUGAGCCGAUGUCGGAUUAGCUAGUUGGCGGGGUAAAGGCCCACCAAGGCGACGAUCCGUAGCUGGUCUGAGAGGAUGAUCAGCCACACUGGGACUGAGACACGGGCCCAGACUCCUACGGGAGGCAGCAGUGGGGAAUAUUGGACAAUGGGCGCAAGCCUGAUCCAGCCAUGCCGCGUGUGUGAAGAAGGCCUCGG
rnacentral:rRNA from 1 species